GGGGGCGAAUCAGGUUCGACGGGGGUAGCAUGGGCGUAAGUAGCAGGUCGAGCAUCCGCUGCUCGUAAAUCCGCGGAAACAGAUAACUGCCAACAGACAUCAAGUACUAGCAGCCGCUUAGUGCUGCUACGUCCGACCGGUCCCUUCCUGCGGGACCGGAGCCGGGCGUCACUAAUGCAGGAUACCGCGCUGUGGUGCUCGGAAGCGGCAGCGGGAAAAGCACGAGCUAGCGGGGUCGGGUCCCUGCCCCUUGGGGACACGGGCUGGCGAAUCUGUAAACAGGGGCUAAACCUGUAGAAGCUGGCGCUGGUGUGCCUUCGGACGAGGGUGCAAUUCCCUCCGCCUCCACCA
rnacentral:tmRNA from 1 species